rnacentral:sRNA from 1 species
UCAUUCCUGAGCUUGUAAACCUGGCUGACGUUGAUAGAGCCAUAGUGAAAUGAACCUUGAGGAUUUGGACGAGCAGCACCAAGUUAUUUUGUACAAACCUGAUGGAGCGUGCCUGGUUCAUUGAGAAAGUUUUGUCGUACUCAUCAUUUGGUGGAUCAGGAAGAGGGCCAGAAGCUUUUCCCUUUGAAUUUGAAUACUGCAAGAUUGCAACACCGGUAACUUUGGUCCACAGUGAUUCAUUAACAAACCUAGCACUGGCCACAAUGUAGUAGUCACUGCUUGCAUUCUGAUCCAUGGUGAUCAAAAAUGAGUAGGACUGUCCCACAUGGAUGUCAAGAUUUGUGAAAUUCUGCUUCAUUGUGUAUGAUCCCUCAGUUUCAACAAGGGCCAAAUUGUGGUUCUGAAUCCUGAAGUUCAAGCUCGUCGAUAUACCCACAUUGUGGACACGGAAACGGUAUGUUUUUCCUGUUGCGGAGUUUGAGCAGUCAGUUACCAAAUCAUGAGAAUAAACAAAGGCAAUCAUUGUUCAAAGAAAUUUUAGUUGGCCCUGUCAUGGAACAGUUUUUUUGGCAACAUGUACAAGGACUAGUUUAGCUUAUCAUGCUGAAAGUGUGGGAGGACUAAUCACCUGGUUCAACUUUGAUAGUCUCAUGUUCAAUGCCAGCAGGGACGAGGGAAUCAUUGUACCUAUACGGCCCCUUGCCAUUCAUCAGAACUCCAUCAGGCAUCCCGAGCUCUUUUCCAUCAUCGAGCAUCUUCCUCAGGUCCUAUACAAGACAAACACAAUCAGCACCAUGACCAUUGAUGUGAUGAGUCCUGGAAAAUAGGCUUAGGUUUUUUUUUUCUCUCUCUACCGUGUGGCUCUUCUUGUACCAGUCCCCAAUGAACAAGGUGAUAUCUCCAUCUGGUGUGUCGAAUGGGACAGAAAUGACGGCGCGGUUGUUGACAGUAAUACCUCCGAAACCACCAGCAGCACGCUGCAGGCUAAGGGGUGGGAAGUAAAAGAAGCUCCCAAUCUGGUCCUUGACUUGGAAAUUGUAGGUCCAGUUCCAACCUGGAGGUAUGGGGCAGGUUGUGCCAAGAACACCAUCCUGCCAGCAAUUCUUUCUUUGCUGGAUCCCAUCCCAAGUGAUGAGUAAUGGCUCAUCCAAGCUGUUGAGCACAUUGACGACCACAUUGUAGUUGGUGGUGAGGUUCAUGACGGGGCCAGGGAACUGCUUGUUGAUUGCGAUAACCU